GCAGAUUCGCGUCCCUCAGCCUGGCCGUGCGGCGAGAGGCCGCUAGCAGCGCCCUGCGGACCGGCCCGCAGCCCCGGCGCCCGCCCCGGACUCACGGCGGGGGCGUCGGUCGAGGUGUACCGCAGGAUGACCUGGAAGGGCUGGUGCGCCUGCAGCUCGGGCGGCAGCGUGACGGGAUGUUUCAGCAGCCCCUGAGAAGGAAGAGGAGGAAGCUGAGGGCCCGCUGAGGGCGCAGGACCUGAGGGAGUCCUACAUCCAGCUCGUCCAGGGUGUGCAGGAGUGGCAGGAUGGUUGCAUGUACCAGGGGGAGUUUGGGUUGAACAUGAAGCUUGGAUAUGGCAAAUUCUCUUGGCCCACAGGCGAGUCAUACCAUGGGCAGUUUUACCGGGACCACUGCCAUGGCCUGGGUACCUACAUGUGGCCAGAUGGCUCCAGUUUCACGGGCACAUUUUACCUCAGCCACCGAGAAGGCUACGGCACCAUGUACAUGAAGACACGGCUUUUCCAGUUUCAAUGUGAUGUUUCCAUUUGUGGAUCUGGAAAAUUCUCAACUGUUAUUUCUUCAGAU
rnacentral:sRNA from 1 species